AUACUAAAAUAGCGUAUAUACUAAAAUUGGAAUAAUACAGAGAAGAUUUUCAUGGCCCCUGAACAAUGAUGACAUGUAGAUUAGUGAAGUGUUCUACAUUUUU